AGGUGUUUAUUGGUGAUGUAAAAGAUUGAUGUUCUCCAUACGUCCUUGUCUACAGAUUACGAAAUAACCGUAAAUGUAUUUUAGCAGAAAGAAUCGCUCAGUGCUGCCAGUAACAUUAAUGGAUGUGCUAUUCUCUUUGGCAAUAUUCCUCGCCUUUGAACAUAGACAGUCGUAUGCAUCACUACGAGGUUUUCUUCAUGACGAAGUGAUUGUUGCUGGCCUGGGUGACUGAAAGUAACGUUUUAUUUCACUUCCUGAAUUUUUCGCGUACUCCAUGGGCUUCGUGCUUAAAAAACAGGUUAAAUGUUAGAGAACUUCAGUUUGACAUUUUAAUUCCCGUGACUGACCAAGACAGAAUUUCUCCUUACAACAUCUGAUUAAAUAUCAAGCGGACAAAAGAUGAGAAUAAAGAAAAAUAUCGAUUAGGGGGUUAUUUGUAGAUCCAAAUCCAAAUUCUCCAAACUUAUAUCAAGAGAAUUGUAUGGCAGAGAUUAAGGAGAAUUACUUAAGAAAUCUUGGGAGCGAAAGGGUUAAGAGGAAUGAAAAUGUUGAAGACACUUUACUUGGCUAACAAAAUUCUUAUUUGCAAAACAAAUUUUGUCAUUGCGAUACUUUUUUGUCAUUCCAAAAGAUUAAAAGAUAUUUCUACCUUCUCCAAGAAAUCGAUCUAAGCCCGGUUCGAAAAAAAAAAAACAACUCUUUACAGUCAUGAAAUAUUCACCUACUUUCGGGCUAUGCAAGUGUCCUGUUUAUUUUGAAUUUUGUUUUCCAACCUGAAAGAUUUAAUCGUUCAGUGAUUUGGAGUUCUUUGAGGUUGCUGGAUCUAUCUUUUGUUCUCCGUAGUAUUUCCUGUAUAUCGCCAACAAUUUAUGAAGUGGUACUUGUCUGUUUUCAUUUUGAUUUUAAUCUGUUGGUGCGCGCGCAUUUAACUCAGACCCUUUAGGUUGGUGAGCUCAUUUUCACGUUUUCAUACACAGUUUCAUAUAGUUCUUUUUGCUGUCUUAGGAGUAUACUUAUUAAAGAUUAAAAAAAGGGGCUGUUUUGGAGGAAAGAAUGCUAAGCGGGUGCAUUUCAAAUUUCGUAAUAAUGAAUGAAAGUGCUAAAAGGUGAGCCGUGACCUUAUGCAAGCGGGUUCAUCAUCAACAUUUCUCUUGGCGCUCUGCCUAUCUUCCCAGAGGACAAGGCCAUACGUGAACGCCAAAAAGACCAAGUCUCGGAGACGGGUUCCGGUGAUUUUAUCUUCGCGAAGCAUGGAAUGAGUUCGGCUAGCUUUGAUUUUUUAGUUCAUUUCAAUCACUCCUGAAUCAUCGAUUGCUACAACGACAACAACAGAUUGGUAUAUUUGACACUUGUCAAAGUGGAGAGCGCUCACGUUACAAGAUUCCUUGCGCGCUUACUCCCUUAACAUCUGACAAAGGGCUUUGUUCGUUCUUUUUUUGUCAAAACAAGUGAAGUGUACCGACGUGGUCCUUACUGCAGCAUGCUGUGAAGUUUUGCAUGUUUUGAGGAAUACUGUCUUGCUGUUUUUUUCUUACUAAGAGAGAAUAUGAUCAGAACUCUCUUCAUCAUAGUCGUGUCUCUCUCUUCUAUUGCAUCAACCACAAAAAAUUGUAGCUCAGUGAUAUCGUACAAGUGCAAUCAACGAUGUAGCAGCACAUCGUGCAAGUGUGCAUCAGAUGACAUCCAUUAUGCUGAAUGUUACCAGACCUGUGGAAAUGCACAGUGCAAGGAGCUGACGUGUACAUCUGGGACUUGCUAUCAGGAGUGUCAUGACUGCCGCAUGGAAUGUACUCGUGACGUCGGUUAUUGCAAUCAGCGGUGUUUGUCAGGAGCAUGCUCCUUUAAGUGUAGCGCCUAGGUAUGUGUACAAAAAUGUGGUGGUAAAGAUUGCAAACAUUUGCCUACGGAACACGAAGAGCCUUUUAUACCACGCCUCUACCUGGUCAUUUUAGCCGGUCUGUUCGCAGCUACGACAAUUUUGACUUGUUUGGCUUUAAUGUUGUCUUGUAGCCAGAUCGGUUGUUGCAAGAGAAAAACUCCCCUGCUUGUUUCUCGAGACCUUAGCAACAGCUUGGGAAGUCUACCAACGAAACCUUCUGUUGUGUAGUAUAAGAGACCACAGGACACAUUCAAAGCGUCAUCAACAAAGUAACCAAUUUUGUUGCACAUCAUGAAAUACAGCCGGAUACCAAAGCACGUGGCUUGGUGGUGUUUCUCGUUAUGUAAAGGGCGGAACGAGUUUUCUGAAAACGACUUAAAGUCAGUGUAACUACUGGAGAUAAGGACUGUUCCAGUAGGACUAACUACAAGUAGCAUUAGUUGGUUGUAAACUAGAAAUGUGUCAGUAUUUAAUGAAAAAUAAAAGUACAGCUCUUUUCCGA